CAAGAGCGUAUAUUAAAGUUGUUGCAGUUAAAAGCUCGUAGUUGGAUUUCUGGUACAACGCGCCUGGCCCGCUUUGUUGAGUGCGGUGCGCUGUUUGCCAUCCUUCUAGAAAACGUCUCUACUCGGGCAACUGAGCCGGAUUCGCGAUCUAGAUCUUUACUUUUGAAAAUUAGAGUGUUUAAAGCAGGCUAUUGCCUUGAAUACAUUAGCAUGGAAUAAUAAUCUAGGACUUCGGUUCUAUUUUGUUGGUUUCUAGUACUGAAGUAAUGAUUGAUAGGGAUAGUUGGGGGUGCUAGUAUUGACCGGCCAGAGGUGAAAUUCU
rnacentral:rRNA from 1 species